CGCCUGUUUAACAAAAACAUGUCCUUUUGGGUGAAUAUGAGGUCUGACCUGCCCACUGAUAUUUGAAUGGCCGCAGUAUUUUAACUGUGCAAAGGUAGCAUAAUCAUUAGUCUUUUAAUUGAAGGCUGGUAUGAAUGGUUGGACGAGAUACUAUCUGUUUCACGUAGAGUUAGAUUAGAAUUUUAUUUUUCAGUAAAAAAGCUGAAAUGGUUUUUAAAGACGAGAAGACCCUAUAAAUCUUUAUAGUUGAUUUGUUAUAAUUUUUUAGAUGGGUUGUAUUAUGACAGUUGAUACUAUUUUAUUGGGGUGAUAUUAAAAUUUAAUUAACUUUUAGUUUUUGGUGACAUUAAUUAAUGAUUGAUUGAUCCGUUAAUGACGAUUGGAAAAUUAAGUUACUUUAGGGAUAACAGCGUAAUUUUUUUGGAGAGUUCUUAUCGAUAAAAGUGAUUGCGACCUCGAUGUUGGAUUAAGAGAUAGAUUUGGGUGUAGCAGCUUGAAUUCUAAGUCUGUUCGACUUUUAAAUUCUUACAUGAUCUGAGUUCAAACCGG
rnacentral:rRNA from 2 species